UGCAAGUCGAACGAGAGAAUUGCUAGCUUGCUAAUAAUUCUCUAGUGGCGCACGGGUGAGUAACACGUGAGUAACCUGCCCCCAAGAGUGGGAUAGCCCCGGGAAACUGGGAUUAAUACCGCAUAAAAUCGCAAGGUUAAAGCAGCAAUGCGCUUGGGGAUGGGCUCGCGUCCUAUUAGUUAGUUGGUGAGGUAACGGCUCACCAAGGCGAUGACGGGUAGCCGGUCUGAGAGGAUGUCCGGCCACACUGGAACUGAGACACGGUCCAGACACCUACGGGUGGCAGCAGUCGAGAAUCAUUCACAAUGGGGGAAACCCUGAUGGUGCGACGCCGCGUGGGGGAAUGAAGGUCUUCGGAUUGUAAACCCCUGUCAUGUGGGAGCAAAUUAAAAAGAUAGUACCACAAGAGGAAGAGACGGCUAACUCUGUGCCAGCAGCCGCGGUAAUACAGAGGUCUCAAGCGUUGUUCGGAAUCACUGGGCGUAAAGCGUGCGUAGGCGGUUUCGUAAGUCGUGUGUGAAAGGCGGGGGCUCAACCCCCGGACUGCACAUGAUACUGCGAGACUAGAGUAAUGGAGGGGGAACCGGAAUUCUCGGUGUAGCAGUGAAAUGCGUAGAUAUCGAGAGGAACACUCGUGGCGAAGGCGGGUUCCUGGACAUUA
rnacentral:rRNA from 1 species